AACGAACGCUGGCGGCAUGCCUAACACAUGCAAGUCGAACGAGAUUUUCGGAUCUAGUGGCGCACGGGUGCGUAACGCGUGGGAAUCUGCCCUUUGCUUCGGAAUAACAGUGAGAAAUUACUGCUAAUACCGGAUGAUGUCUUCGGACCAAAGAUUUAUCGGCAAGGGAUGAGCCCGCGUAGGAUUAGGUAGUUGGUGGGGUAAUGGCCUACCAAGCCGACGAUCCUUAGCUGGUCUGAGAGGAUGAUCAGCCACACUGGGACUGAGACACGGCCCAGACUCCUACGGGAGGCAGCAGUGGGGAAUAUUGGACAAUGGGGGAAACCCUGAUCCAGCAAUGCCGCGUGAGUGAUGAAGGCCUUAGGGUUGUAAAGCUCUUUUACCAGGGAUGAUAAUGACAGUACCUGGAGAAUAAGCUCCGGCUAACUCCGUGCCAGCAGCCGCCGUAACAC
rnacentral:rRNA from 1 species